UACCAGCUCUCCGAGUGGUGUGGAUGUUUAUUGGGCCUAAAGCAUCCGUAGCUGGCUGGGCAAGUCCCCUGUUAAAUCCACCGAUUUAAUCGUUGGAGUGCGGGGGAUACUGUUCGGCUAGGGGACGGGAGAGGCAGACGGUAUUUUCGGGGUAGGGGUGAAAUCCUAUAAUCCCGGGAAGACCACCAGUGGCGAAGGCUGUCUGCUAGAACGCGCCCGACGGUGAGGGAUGAAAGCUGGGGGAGCGAACCGGAUUAGAUACCCGGGUAGUCCCAGCUGUAAACGAUGUAGGCUAGGUGUUUGGGCGGCCACGUGCCGCUCUAGUGCCGCAGGGAAGCCGUUAAGCCUGCCGCCUGGGGAGUACGGCCGCAAGGCUGAAACUUAAAGGAAUUGGCGGGGAGCACCACAAGGGGUGAAGCUUGCGGUUU
rnacentral:rRNA from 1 species